AUUGAACGCUGGCGGCAGGCCUAACACAUGCAAGUCGAACGAGUGGCGGACGGGUGAGUAAUGUCUGGGAAACUGCCCGAUGGAGGGGGAUAACUACUGGAAACGGUAGCUAAUACCGCAUACCAUCGGAUGUGCCCAGAUGGGAUUAGCUAGUAGGUGGGGUAACGGCUCACCUAGGCGACGAUCCCUAGCUGGGCUGAGAGGAUGACCAGCCAGACUGGAACUGAGACACGGUCCAGACUCCUACGGGAGGCAGCAGUGGGGAAUAUUGAACAAUGGGCGCAAGCCUGAUGCAGCCAGGCCGCGUGUAUGAAGAAGGCCUGCGGGUUGUAAAAGACUUUCAGCGAAGAGGCGUUACUCGCAGAGGAAGCACCGGCUAACUCCGUGCCAGCAGCCGCGGUAAUUC
rnacentral:rRNA from 1 species